CCCAGCUCUCCUCCUCCUCCUUUGCCUCCUCCUCCUCCACUCCCCCCCUUUAUUACCCUUUGUGUCAUCCUCCACAGCUCCAGGAAAGGCACUCAAAAGUGGGGGGCAGGAAAGGAGAGCAUUGGAGAUGUCCACUUCUGCCUCUGUAAGAUAGAUGUUGAAGGCUGUGUGAUUUAGACAGUAUCUAAAGAAAUUAGACACUCCAGAACCAAGAAAAUAAAUACAAGAAAUCAAGAGCACAGAAUAUCUUCUUCCUUCAACCCACAGAACCCUGAAACUCUUCUAAUUCCAUCAAGCACAGAGAAAGGCCCACCUUGGCAGAUGGCCACAGAGGAUGUCAACAAUUUUUUGGA